rnacentral:rRNA from 1 species
GACGAACGCUGGCGGCGUGCUUAACACAUGCAAGUCGAACGAAGUGGCGAACGGGUGAGUAACGUGUAAUCAACCUGCCCUUCAGGGGGGGACAACAGUUGGAAACGAAUGCUAAUACCGCAUACUGAAGGAGGGGAUUGCGUUGGAUUAGCGAGUUGGGGGGGUAACGGCCCACCAAGGCGAUGAUCAGUAGCCGGUCUGAGAGGAGUGACGGCCACAAUGGGACUGAGGAACGGCCCAGACUCCUACGGGAGGGAGCAGUGGGGAAUCUUCCGCAAUGGACGGAAGUCUGACGGAGCAACGCCGCGUGAGUGAUGACGGCCUUCGGGUUGUAAAGCUCUGUUAAUCGGGACGCGGUACCGGAAUAGAAAGCCACGGCUAACUACGUGCCAGCCGCCGCGGUAAUAC